UACGUAGGGUGCGAGCGUUAAUCGGAAUUACUGGGCGUAAAGCGUGCGCAGGCGGUUUUGUAAGUCAGAUGUGAAAUCCCCGGGCUUAACCUGGGAACUGCGUUUGAAACUACAAGGCUAGAGUGUGGCAGGAGGGGGGUGGAAUUCCACGUGUAGCAGUGAAAUGCGUAGAGAUGUGGAGGAACACCGAUGGCGAAGGCAGCCCCCUGGGUUAACACUGACGCUCAGGCACGAAAGCGUGGGGAGCAAACAGG
rnacentral:rRNA from 1 species